CUGCCGCUCCUCCAGGGCCAGGCCGGCAGGAGGGGGGCAUUAAAAUUAUCUGCUGUGGGUUUUACGAGGGGCGAUUGCUUUUUAAAACAACAACAACAACAACACAAGGUCCCUGUGUGGCUCGUGGGUAACCUAAAACUCUCUAGGCAGAGUACCCCCCUUACACCCUUACACACACACACACACACACACACACACACACACACACACACACACACACACAUCCUCCGCCUGCCAAGAACGCCAGCACGGGGACCGAUGCAGCGACACCAUAGAGAAGCUCUGCUCCAACCAAGGCCGAGCUCCCACCGACCUAGGAGGCGCCUCUAGGGGGUCUUGAAGGAAAAGACUCCGGAGAAGUUCGGGAAAGAAAACCCACCGGUGACAGGUGACAUCCCGAGUUGCACAGCGGCUACCAGACAGAAGUCUCACAGAGGCAAAAUAAAGCACCGGAGGCCGGGGAGGCCCCCUGAGGGUCUGGUAAUGCGCACCUGUGGCCCUGUGGUCCACACGACCUGGGAUCAGAACUCGGGCACCCUGUCUUAACCAAUCUGAACUGGAUGUCCACAGGAGCAGACUCCCUGUGGCCAAGCAACGCUGGAGAAAAAAGUCAGAGGAACCCUGGUCUCACAUGAGGAGGAGGAGAAGGCAUGAGUGGAGAAGGAGUGGUCUGUAAGCGCAGAAAUCCUAGACACCUCCAAGGAAGGAGAUAUCUUUCAUGGGAGCCCAAACUUGGAGAGGAUAGCUCGGCCCUAAACAGACCUGUCAGGUGCUGGAGGUCUGCCCAUAGUGGUCCCUGAGGCCAGCCUAGACAUGGUCACAGCUACGUCACAUCACUCCUCAACCCCACAAGGUGUCUGCUGCCUUCCCCACAAGAGACUCAUGAUUAUCUCCAAAUGUGGAACACGGUUCUUGGUGAUUGGUUCCCCGCGUCUGGACCCCUCCCUUGGUGGGGAGAGAUCCAUUUCUCCAACCAGAGUGCAAUAAAGCACUGGCUUCACAGCUCCCUAA